GGGCACGGCCUCUACCCCAUGUCGGCACGGCCUCUACCCCAUGUCGGCACGGCCUCUUCCCCUUGUGGGCACGGCCUCUACCCCAUGUCGGCACGGCCUCUUCCCCUUGUGGGCACGGCCUCUACCCCAUGUCGGCACGGCCUCUACCCCUUGUCGGCACGGCCUCUACCCCUUUGUUUUUCUAUCACCCAAGCAUCACUUCUUCUCACCUGUCAUCUCCUGUCCCCCUGCAUCCUGAUCAAGCUGGAACUUGUAUGUCAACUUUACUCCUAUUGUAGAACCAAGGAAUUUUUUCUCUGGUCUCUUUCUUCAGGAAAUAGGCAAAUAAGAUGAGAGUCGGUAGCUUUACCUCCUACAUAUCUCAGUUUCUCUCUUACAAUCCUAGAAAUAAGGCCCACACAAAAUGAGCCUGUCAUACGAGGUAGGACAAUGCUAGCAGCUGUGACAUGCACAUGUCAGGCCUCAAGUGGCUUUCCCCAAAUUGGGUAUUCUUGAACAACUGGUGAUUUCCUUCACGCUAUACCUCAGAGAUCCAGCCUUCUUGUGUUCUGGGCGCUACCAUAUUCUACUCAUACCUUUCAGUGUCACCACAUUUGCCUGCAGCAGACAACGGAAAGAGAGUGUCAUGGAAUAUCACGCAGAGAGGCUUUUCAUGGGACAAACCUGGAAGCAGCGUAGUUGGUUUUGUUCAUAUCGCACUCAUUACAUCCCAUGAUGAAUAGCUAGUCCCGCGGUCCUCAAAACGCAGGUUGCAUCACAAUCACCUGGGAACGGUUAAGACCCUUGCUGAGCUGCAGUCUGAGUUUCUGACUUUAUAGAUCUGAAUUGGGUCCAAGAACUUACAUUUCUAACCAGUUUCCAGGAGAUGCUGAUGCAGCUGAUCCUGGGAAAACACUUUGAGGACCACAGAGCUAAUCAAUCUUUGCUACAUUUCUUACGCCCAUAACACAUAUUUCUUGAGGAAUUCCUAUCUUUAUUUUAGAGAGAGAAGAGCAGUUGAUGGAAAGGAGCAGGAUCUUGGCUUGAGAGGAGGUGGCCGCUCCAGAGCACAGGUGAUAGGAGUUCUGGUCAUGGUUCCACUAAGCUGUGUGGCCGUCACAAAUAACCUCCUCUCUGCAAACCCUGGUUUCCUGUUUAUGAAACAGGAAUCAUAACAAUAUCAGUUCUGGGAAACAAGGGGCCGUUGAGAUCAAAUGAGAUAAAUAUGGGGUGAAAUAAUUAUCAUAAAAGCAGACAUCUGGGCUCUCCAUUGGGCAAGAACUAUCUUAAAAGAAAAAAUGUCUUGAUGAUCUUCUCGAGGUGGGGAGGGAGACUGGAAGUGCAGGUCUGAAAGGAUGAACGAGAAGCCGACACCAUUCUGUGACGGGGAGUUUAGGAGUGGGCGCCCACGAGAGAACAGAGGACACAACAUGAGAAAAGGGUGCUGGUGUCGAGGCACUUUUAACAACGGGACAUUUUAUCAUCACUUUUCAGUUGUUUGAGCUUCUGCCUCCCCAGACUUUCAGUACAAUCGCGGCUGUUUUGUUGGUGGAAAUCAAUGAGAAGAAAAUGAAUUCUGUGUCUAGUUGAGUUUACAGCAGAGGCAACAGGAAGCCUGAAGAAGGCGGCAGGGAGCGAAGGGGAGCACGCGUGGAAGCAGCGGACAGAGCCAGGGAUUUUCAGGCAAGUCUAGCCCUUGUGAACAUGGUUCAAGCACAACCCAUAUGCUUUCAUGAAAUCCUCAGUCUCAAAAAUCUGUGUAGGAAGGGCUUGAUAUGACGGCUGCAAACACGUUAUUAUUUCUAAACGUAUCUAAGGGCAGCUAAAAUCAUGACAUUUAUAGUGAUAUUGCUUAAAUUACAUUUUUGAAUAUCUCAUACAUGUAUUACCUAUAUUAUUAUACUGUUAAUUACACCUUCAUUGAUUUUUAAAAUUUUAUACUUUUAAGAUUAGAUGUGGAUGCAUUUUCUAAAAACUACAAGAUUACCCAAACAGAACGGAUUGCAUUUCAAGGUUAGGAAGUUUUUCUAAUAAUAAUUUAUGGCCCAAGUACAAUGUGAUGAAGUGUGCUUGUAGGUACCAACCCGAGACUGUGUUUGCCAAGAGUUGAAUAAAAAGUGGGGGAAAUAUUUUCUAGCCCUUGUUAGAAAUGCCCUCAGAAUGCUUUUUAUUUCUAAAGAAUGCUGCAUUGUAUAUAUGCAGGUAGUUUUCAGCCAAAUGGUUUAAUUUGUAGAGAUUUUAAAUCACAUAAGAUUUGUUUCCUAUGCAGUUUCUUCUGAAACUAUAAAAAGACUAGGUUCUACCUUAAUUUCUAAGAAAAAUAUUAUAAACCUUUAUUAUGAUGGUACAAUUGAUGGAACAAUGUAAUUUUUACAUUUUCACCUUUGAGAGUUAUUUUUCCCCAAGCUUCUGCCUUUUUUGAGUAUUUGCAAAGCUCUGCAAAUGACAGGCGCAUCCACGAUGCAAAGAGUAAUCUUUCUUUGGGGCUGUUCCUGGGGUGGUGAUUAGUAGCAUCUUCACUGAAUAUUUAACUUCUCAGAAUGGCUUAUCUGUGCUGUGGAUCAGUGCAAGAUCUGGGUGAGCUGUCGCUACUCUACAUAAUUAAGUUUUCCUCGCCAAAAAAAAGAGAAAGUAAUAAAACAUGAAGUGAAAGAAGCGGAAAGUUGGACUUUUAAAGCAUCUUCCCCUCAUGUUAUUUUCUCAUUGAAAAGAACCUGAAACAAAAGCAAAAUAUUUGCGUUUUAGGAGGGACUUUAUGCAGAUCAGUCAGGCUGACUGCUCCCAUUUUCUUGCAAAACUCUUAGGAAUUCUCCUCUGCAAACUCCUCCGCUGUCAGUGAUAAGUAGUAAAUGCCACAAAGAGAACAAUUGCCCAUUGUUCAAAAGCUGACUGGCAUGGUAUGUGGGUGAGGCAAAGAGAGGGUAGGGGGCUAAGUUCUGUUGUAGGGAAACCAGUGCAGGACAGAGCUGCUAACUCUGAGGUACUGAAAUGAUAGAUAAUUCAAGUUUCUCAUGUCACUUCCAAGUAGUGCAAAACUCAUGUCACUGCACAGGAUCGUGCUUAAUCCCAUCUUUUUAUAUGUAGAAAAUACACCCCAGAGUUAGACCGACGUGCACGUUAAUGCGUAGCUGGGAUGUCUGCUCACUCUCCAGGCCUGUGUGGAUGAAGCAGACUUUGCUGGCUCAGCUGCACGUUGUUCUUAGCUUCCUCUUCUGAGUGGGCUGGCAUACCCGAUGGAAUCCCCUCCCCUGUAUUUAAUGAACACUCUAAUGUAUGGGGGUGUCUUCUCCUGGUUAGUGUCAUUGGGAAAAUGGCAUCUGCUUAUCUAUUGCAAAUGAAAAUCAUCUGGGGAAUAUAAAAAGCAUUUUCAAUUCUGCUACCAUUAUUUCAGAAGCAAUCAAAUGCAGAGGAAUAUAAGUCAAACAUGGAGCAAAAUGCUGAUGGAUUGGGCGAUCUGCAUAGCGCUCUGGGACCGUCGUUAUUUCAGUGUUCCAGAGGAAAAUGCGCAUUUGAAAGACGUCUCUGGGCACGGAAAGGAGGAGGAAUGUAUGCGAACUCAUCAGCAGUAGGGGAGAGGCGCUUCUGGCAGAAACAAAAGAGGUUCUUGACAUCAUUUGCCUUUUGCUCCUACUUCAUUAAUUUUAGACUUCUGGAAGCUGGGAAGCCCAAGAUGAAGGAACUGAAAGAGUUGGUGUCUAGUGAGGACUGGGUCUCCACUUGCAAGAUGGCACCUUGAAUGCUGUGUCCUCCAGAGGCGGGGAACGCCAUUCCUCACAUGGCAGAAGAGUGGAAGAGCAAGAGAGAAAACUCACUCCCGAAAGUCCUUUUAAGAAAAGCAUUAAGCUUGCCCAUGAGGCUGGAGCCCUCAUGAUCUAAGCACCUCUUAAAAAUCUUAUUUCCUGCGCUGUGCUGGGAUUACUUGGUGCUCCCAAGUAAUCCCAGCACUUUGGGAGGCCGAGGCGGGUGGAUCACGAGGUCAAGAGAUCGAGACCAUCCUGGCCAAUGAGGUGAAACCCUGUCUCUACUAAAAAUACAAAAAAUUAGCUGGGCAUGGUGGCACGUGCCUGUAAUCCCAGCUACUCAGGAGGCUGAGGCAGGAGAAUUGCCUGAACCCAGGAGGCGGAGGUUGCGGUGAGCCAAGAUUGUGCCAUUGCACUCCAGCCUGGGUACCAAGAGCGAAACUCUGUCUCAAAAAAAAAAAAAAAAAGAAAAAAAAUCCUAUUUCCCAAUACUGUCACAUUGGUAAUUACAUGUUAACAUGAAUUUUGGAGGCAACAAGCAUUUAAACCACAGCAGUGGUCCUCCGUUGCCUGGAACAGUCUGCUUUUAGCAUUGCACGUCCCAUGUUCUAGGAAAUUUUCAGUCAUUCUAACUUCUUCCUACACCUGGAUACCUCUACCAUUGGCCUGUCACAGAAUCUGGAGUGAAUCCAAAGGCUAGGGUUGUGUUUUCAUGAAUCCUGUGUUAACAUGCACCAAGACAAUAUCCUCAUAUUAGUUUUUAUUACUCACUUUUCAGUGGGAGUAUGUUUUCAGAGAUGUAGCUUCCACUUCAGACGACAGAGAGCUGAGCCACGACUGAAGAGUGAUUAUGAAUAGUGGGCAGGAAAAGAGAAAAACAACCGUUUGUGAAGCACAUACUAUGUUCAGGGAGUCCGAUGGGCUUUUACUAUUGAUAGAAACAGUUCAGAAAUCAAGCACUGGGCACGCUGAGAGGGUAGGCGGCUGAGUUAGUGAGUGGGAAGGUAAGAGGCAAAUGCUCUAGAAGAAGCGAAGCCGUUACUCAGGUGAGUGGAGAAGAUAGCCUUCAGGCCAAACCCCAGCUGUGCAUUUCGAUUUGACCCUGCAUGUUUCUAACAGUGGAAUUGCGACCAAAAGCCUUAGCCCCAGCAUUGAGUUUCCUCAUCGCUAAAACUGGAAUUUAAUACUUGCUUAUAGGGGUUCUGUUUUGUGCAAAUUGAAUGAAGUGGGUGGAAUAUUUCCUGCCUACCGCCUAACAAGCACUACACUCAUUUUAAGCUGCUACUCAUACUGUUACCGUGAGUACAUUUAUUCAAGAAUGUCCUGCUCGGACAGCGCUGGCUUCUUAUUUAUCCCCACUUUUGAGGGCCUAACAUUGCUCUGUCCCUUUGACAUGUAAGCUAUUUGGUGCCUUUGCCGAAAAUCACUGGGUUUCUUGUUGCAUAUGUGGACAUGGGCACACAAACAGGAGAAAAAAAAAAAAAGAAAAGCAAUUGACUUUUGCUUGUAAAAUCGUUAUCACAGGAGUAUUGUUUUUAUUCUAUGACUCAUUCCGUGUUCCAUUCUAUGGGGUUUCCCCAGGCAUCAAUUCAAUGCUUCCAGUUUUUAUGGGAUUUAAGUUACAUUUGAGGGGCCUCAUAAAUGCAAAAUAAUAAAAAAGGGAACAAGUUUGGAACUUCUAGAUCUGUGCUAUCAAAAGGACUGCACAAAAUUUUUCAUUUUCGUCCAUAUAACUCUGCCUGAACGUUAUUUAUGGUUUGAGCAAAAUAGUAGACAUGGAAUAAGAAUUCACUCAGCUAAGGCAUGUCAGUUAUUCAUAGGUGAAUUGAAGACCUAAACGAUCAUCAAAUUUCACUAGCAACAUUCCAAUGAUACAGUCAUAUAAAACUGAAAUUGUAAUGAAAUGUAACUUUACAUGUAUUUACGGAUUUAAAAGGAAAAAAGAAUACCAUCUUCUCCUGUUGGUAUCAGUUUAAAGUAUACUUCCCUAUGUUUUUUAAAUCUAGGUCCCUACUAAAGAUAGGCCCAACAUUUUUGGUAAGAGGAGAGCUUUUUUUAAUGGCUUCUAUUCCCCAAAUAAGAAUUACAUGUAAACACUUGUAAUUGAUCUUUAAAGCUCUCCUUGACAUAAAUAAAAAGAGCAGACUAUCACAGAUCGCCACAUUUGUAAGGCAUAGCAGAAAGUAGUUGUUAUAAUCUAUUCAUGUUACAUGUAAAAAUUUUGCUUUAAGAUUGUAUACACAUGUUAGAUGAGUCACAUCUGUGUCUUUUCAUUUCAAUUAUCUUUCUGUCAUAUUACACUGCUUUUCUUAUGAAAUAUUUUAGCAAAUGGUAUUGAAAUAGGAUUUUAAGGAAAGAAUGUGAAAAUAGAGGAAUGCCUUUCAGAAUGCCAAGUAAAGUUCAAUAAUUUUAAUAAUUUUAAAAUAUUGAUGAAAUAAAGAGACAAUUCAUAUUUUCAGGAAGAGCAUAAGGGAGAUUAAGCAAAAUAACCUUUUGAAAUAGAAUCUAAAAUGCCCGCAAAUGGCUUUUUAAUUCUAGUGACUAUUCUAAGGAAAUGAUGUAUUACUAUUUACUUAUUAACCUAUGAGAAUACAUACUAUGCUUUUUAUUUUUUUCUUGCAGGUAAAGGAAUAAAAGUAAUGGUCAACCAAGCCCCAUUUAUUUCUGGUUUCUGAUGCCAUUUAGUUCAGAGUUUCUUAAAGUGAGGUCUUUAUACCAAGAACAUCGAAAUUAACGUAAUGCUUCUUAAAAAUGCAGUUUCCAGGCCCUCCUUCAAACGUACUGAAUCACAGUCUCUGAGGAAUGGGGCCUGCGAGUCAGACCUUGAGCGGCCUCCAAGGUGACUCUGAAGUACAAUCAUGCUUAAGAACUGUAUUUCAAUUCACCGUUCCGUGUUGAUGAAUGGUUUGAGAUCACAGACCAAGUCAAAGAUGGUUUCUUCUGCGUUCCUUAAGUUUUAGUGCCGUUUGAAGAAACGGCUGGACCCUUUCCUCAGCAGGGAUUUUUAAUUUUAUUGUUACGUGAAAUAAGUAUUUCAUUUUAUGUGGUAGAAUCUGACAAACCCACCAAAGAAAUUUCUUAGAACUUUCACAGGUGAGUUUGUAAGCUUGGCUCUGUUGAGGCAGUUCUUUUGCAUAAAUCAGUGGGAUUUGAGUCAUGGACUACAUGUCUAUCACAAUUCUGUAACAAAAGCAGGUUACUUCCGAGAUGGACAAAGGGUGCCAUCAAGCAGGAGUUGGCCAUAUUUUUUUCUGCAAAAGGUCAAAUAGUAUUUUAGGCUUUGCAAGCCGUACAAUCUCUCUUGUAACUACUCAACUCCACUGCUGCAGCGUGAACUCAGUCAUAAACAAUACAUAAAUGAAAGGAGCAUGCUGUAUUGCAAUGAAACUUCAUUUACAAAAGCUUUAAUUACAGCCUGAUUAAGCCCGUGGAUCACUGUCUGUUGAUCCCGGAACAGACCAUUUAAUAUGCGAUCAAUAGUAUUUAAGGUAAAAACACUAGCACAAAUGCUGAAAAGAUAUUUACAACCUGAACUUACACGAGAACAUUGAUAAAACAGAUUUAAAAAUACAGUGUUUGCUUUCUGUUCUAUUUUUCUGUUUUCUUUAUUGGUGAUACAAUAGCCCUACCGUGACUAAUCAGUGUGAUAGAUUAUAAAUGUGGCCACAGAUUGGCCUCUCAUCGAGAGCUUAAGACUAUUUCUACUAUCUUUUAAGCUGGCCCUGUGAUGAUCUCUGUCCCACAAGAGGCAGCAAAAGUGUUGUAUUAGUUCUAACUUUUGAAGCCUUGCAGCUUCCACUUUCAUGCUGGGAAUCCUGAUGGAGAAAGGAAUUUCAUGUGGGGAGAGGUCCCAGCUGCCUCCAUCAUCCUAGGUGUCUUUAUUUAGGCUCACACGUACCAGUGGGCCCACCUGAGGAAAGGUAAGCCCAGCCCAGAUGAUCAAGCCACAAAGAUGGUUUUUGUUCUAAGCCACUCUGUUUGAUUGUGUUUUAUUCCACAGCAGCAGAUACAAAUAGAUAGCAAGGUCAUGAGCUGAGAACAAAAGGGAGGAUGUGUUUGAAGUUUGCAUCAAAGGUAUGGCAUGGAGAAGGUGUGACACGCUGCAUCUGUGAGUGUCCUAGAAUGGGCGAGGGAAAUACAGUAGGGUGCUGGAGAGCACUGAGUUCACUUGAGGUGAAUAAACUUAACAUAGUUUAUGAACUUAAAAUAAGACCAGUUAGAAUGGUUGUGUGGUUUUUGCCCCCAAAUAUUCCAGCUGUGCAGGUACAGGAAAAAAUGGAGGGUUGCAUUUAAAUAUGGGUGGCAGGGUUUUCGCAGGUGAACGUGGUGAGGGUAGAGAGAGGAAACUGGACUAGACAUUUAUUAUAAUCAAUGGGAAUGAUUUUAAUAAUAAGCUGGGUACAGAGGAAACUGAGGAUAUGGUGACUCUGAGAGACUUUGAUGGACUGUUGGUCCCAGUGGGGUAGAAGAACUCUUGAGCCCAAGUUCUACAGGAAGUGAGCUGGAAAGGUAGUAGCUGACCUGUCAGAGUGCAGUACUUGAAAUUACAACCACAGAGAGGAUGAUAGUUUUGUGAUGUGGCAAUUUGGUUCACCUGAACUUGCUUUUUCCCAGAAUUCCUUCCCUGCCUGCUUCUAUUUAGGGAGGGCGGAUGGGCAGUAGCAGCCAUGUUGCUUUUAUGCUCAGAAGGGUGAGCGGGAUGCUUCUGCAGGUCACAUACAUUGUGGCUUUUCUGCUGGCUCAUGCGAUGCUGUGGGGCAGCCCUGAGCCUGGGGCCACCUGUACGUGUUCCUUCAGUUUCUCCGACGCCAAGGCCGGGUGAGUGUUUUCUCCCUAAUGAGGUACACUAGCUUUUCAUGCAGGUUGCCCAUGUUAUCAAGGUUGGAGGCAGAGAGAGACUGGCUGGGUUCCAGUCUGUCCUUAAGGGUUUCAAGUUGUCCUUGCUUUUCUCUACUUUAUUUCCAGGCUCCCUUUUAAAUUACAUGCCCUGAGGACUUCAGGGUGCAGCAUCCGAUGUGAAGACAAGCCUUACAGAGAAUGAGUAGCCAGCUCUCUCGAGUCUGUACGGUUCAGUCCCUGUUAAAUCAAUCUAUCAUCCAAUAUGUCUGAUCCUUAGUGCUUCUGUUUUUCUGACUGAACCGUAAGUGACAUAGAGGGGAUACUGUCUUUUUUUUUUUUUUUUUUUUUUUUUGAGACGGAGUUUCGCUCUUGUUACCCAGGCUGGAGUGCAAUGGUGCGAUCUCAGCUCACCGCAACCUCCGCCUCCUGGGUUCAGGCAAUUCUCCUGCCUCAGCCUCCCGAGUAGCUGGGAUUACAGGCAGGCGCCACCGUGUCCAGCUAAUUUUUCUAUUUUUAGUAGAGACGGGGUUUCACCAUGUUGACCAGGCUGGUCUGGAUCUCUUGACCUCGUGAUCCACCCGGCUCGGCCUCCCAAAGUGCUGGGAUUACAGGCGUGAGCCACCGCGCCCGGCCGAGGGGAUAGUCUUAAUGAUUCGUGUCGAUGACAAGCUGCAGGAUGUGAAGAUGUGAAUGGGGGAACGGGGGAGAAAACAGCAGGCUCAUUGGAGGCAGGAGGCCUGUGAAAUGCAAGCGUUGUCUUUGUGGACGUUGAACUCACCAAAAGUUAAAACCAACAUCGCAUUGGAAAGAGUGAUACCAAAUCCAGACGCUAAAAUCCUCAAAAACGGUGGAGGCCCUGUUGAGAGGGUCUGGAUGGAAUGGCUACGAGGAGGUGGAAUAGGCAGUGGUGACCGCGGCACAGCUUUUAAGGAGGGUUACAGAGGCGGUUGUACGGGUGCGCAGGAUGGCAGUGGUGUACACUAGACACACUGGUAUUGAGGAGGAAGGUUACUAGCGCACGUGGUUCCGGGUGUAUGGAAGGGCAAACACGUCGCUGACUCCUGCAGCUUUUAUGCAAAGUCACUUUCCUCUUGCAGCAGGCCCAGCGCUUCUCUGACCAGGUUCUAUUGUGACUUGACUUUAAUUAUCGGCCUGUGAUUAGGAGACUUUUAGAGCAUCAAGGGUGAGGUGAAUCUAGUUAAUGCGGAAAGGUGUGUGGUGAUGGGUGUCAGGUGCAGCCUCAAGGCCAGGGGCCUCCAAUGACAGGUGUGCCGGCCUCUUGCUUCGAGGUAGGGGAAACUGCAGGCCUCUCGGCUCCGGGUUCUGUUGCGUUGAAUCUCAGUUCUCUGACUCUCCUGUGUUCCCGGCUCCUUACUGGAGCCAACCCUGAGAGUACUCACCAGUACACCUUCUGCAUGGAUAUUUCGGUCCGGAAGUCUGUUUCCUGGGGAAACUGGCCAGUUCUCUUCUUUGAAAUAUGCCCCUUUCUCUGCUGCUGGGACACCACGUUCUCUUGGAUCUUAUCCUGACUCACUCUCCUCUUUAGUAUCUUCUGUGUUUUUCCUUAUCUUCCAGGCUUGUAAAUACUGGCUUUUUUCUUCAUAAUCAUUUGAAGUGAUAUCAUCCUGACUCAUGGUUUCAAAUGCUGUGUAUACAAAAUGGAUUGAACAAACCUGGGUCACUUUAUUAAGGAUAGGAGCCCACUUCGGAGGUUAAUCAUCAUGAAUUUGAGACUAGUUGGCAAGAUUCUUUUUUUUUCCGUGGUCAUAUUCGGUUGUCUGAUCGGAAAUAGGCAUUUAUUCAUUCAAAAAACGUUUGUUCCGUUUAUUUCUUGCAUCAGGCAUUUUUCUUAGAGGAAACAGCAGGGAACAAAAUAGACCCAAACCCUUGUCCUUGUGGGUUUAUAUUCUGGUAGACAUGAUUCAGUGGUUCACACUGGCCAGUGGGUAACCCACUAAAAUUCUUUAAGCUUCAGCUUCCCAAACUGCUUAUUGGAGAAUUGAGAAAACAUGUAAAAUGCUUAGGAUAUAUAUAGUGGGAAUCCAACAAACAGAAGUGCAUUUUUAGAGAGAUCUUAGUCCAUGUAUCUGUUUGUUACAGCCUUAGAUUUAGUUGUUCCUGUAACUGGGAUUUCAAAUAUACUUUAAUCCAAGAUACUUGUUUUGUAAUAUUAAAGGAGAGUUCAUUCUGUUGAUAAACACUUAAAUAGUUUGUACUUUGUGCUGGGCACACAGUAACACAGACAGUGGAACGUUCUAAUUCUCCUUCCCUUGCAGGUGAAAUACCCAGUUGACAUGGUUUGUGCCCUACAGCACGUUAAAAGAACGCUGUUCUCAACAUGUGACCAUCCUCUUCCCGGUCGUUGGUCUUGAGCAGCCGGUUAAGUUGAAAGAUGGCUUUCUCCCUGAACUUCUCAAAGUUUUCAUGAUUUGUCUCAGCUUUCAGCUCAGCUGGCUACAAUCCUCUCCUCCCACCAGAAUCUAGAUUCUUAAAAUUUAAUUUAUCCUUUUCCUCUUGUGAAUUUUUAAAAAAUAACGCAGUAGUAGACGACUUCACCAUGGUUUCAAAUUUCUGGUGGCAUCUUAAACACUAACCGGUAUUUUGCAGCUCUCUGCUGUCAGCCUCACCUCUGCUCUUUGCUUCUGCUUCCCUAUCCUGGCGGCCUCUGGUAAAUAAUUCUUCACAGGUUCUCGGUUCCUCAGUUCUUUUUCACUCAGUAGGAUCCCUCCAUAUGCUCCUUUGCUCUUGUGCUUUUCCUUCCUGCCUCCUCUUCCAUCCCUCUCUCCCACUCUGCACUUCAUUCUUUCACCCUUUCUAAUGGAAUUGUUUCCCAGGUCUGCUUUCCAGCCGGCUUCCCAUCUUCUCUUUCACUGUCUUGUUCGUUCUUGCUCAUAUUUCUCAUCAUAUUCUCCCCGUCCUCCUCCCGUUUCCUCUUUCCUCCUUCCAUCUUCCUGCCUUUCCUCUCUGACUGCUUUUAAUUAGGGCUACUUUAAUUCAGAGGAUAGCGAAGUAUAAUGAGUCAUGGACAAGAAGGAGCCUCAGGUCUUAAUGCUUCAAAGGUUUAUCCAUUUAUCUUUUACCUUUGGAUAUGAAGAUUGUUUCUACUGUUAUUUCUCAUGGGUGUCAGUGUCCAACUUCUAUUUCCUUUGCUGUGUGGGAAAAAUUUUAAUGUUCCAAAGACACUUUUAUUGUUGGAUAAAAACAUUUCUCCUGAAGAUCUUGCUGUGUUUUCAAUAGUUCUGGAAUAUUCUUUAUAUACUAUAUUCCCUUUUACUUUUGUUUCCCCUGUCCUGCCCGAAACUAUAAUCUGAAUACUGACAACAUCCUUCAAGUAUAGUUCAGGAUUUUUCCGUAUUUAUUAACUUUCAAGUUUGAAAACAGUAUGAAUAUGUUUGGACCUAAUUGCUUCUGUAUGUUAGUCUUUAGGAGUUGUAUGAAUUAGUGAGACUACAUAAUGCAUGUGGCCAAUGUCUCAGACAUUUUGCUGCUUUUUGUGAUGUUAUUUCAUGUCGAGUUUAUAAUUUAUAGAUGUCAGCGUAAGCAUGUUACAUUGAAUAUGGGGGUUAGGGCAUGAUAUGGUCUGGCUGUGUCCCCACCCAAAUCUCAUCUUGAAUUGCAGCUCCCAUAAUCCCCAUGUGUUGUGGGAGGGAACUGGUGGGAGAUCACUGAAUCGUGGGGGCGGUUCCCCAUACUGUUAUCAUGGUAGUGAGGAAGUCUCAUGAGAUCUGAUGGUUUUUUAGCAUGAAAUCACUUUCACUUGGUUCUCAGUUCUGGUCUGCUGCCGUGGAAGACAUGACUUUCGCCUUUCACUGUCAUUGUGAGGCUGCCCCAGCGACGCUGAAAUGUGAGUCCAUUAAACCUCUUUUUUUUUUUUUGAUAAAUUACCCAGUCUUGGUAUGUCUUUAUCAGCAGCAUGAAAAUAGACUAAUACAGGGUGGAAGCCGAGAAGGAGCUAAAUUAAUUUUUUUCUCUUGAUUUCUGUCUCUUUACUGUCUGAGAUCUGAUAGGACAUUUUCUUCCAGGAGAUAAAGGGGAAAUAGAAAGGUGGGUGGGCAGGCAGCUGUAGGAGAUUUUCAGGUGCUCAAAUGAAGGGAAUAAAUGGAAAGAUUAUCAAAUAUUUCCAAAUAUUUCUUUUCAAUGGGCUACCUCCAUCCCUUAGAGAUUUUAGUGCGGGCCAUUUGUCUUUUAAGGGUUUAUUGGACCCAAAACCUGCUUCUUUCAUGGGACAAACAUGAAUUGGUUUCUAGUCAAGUGAGAUUAGUGACUAAAAUUGAGCUUUAUUUACAAGUUACAUGUAUGAAAAAUAGACUUUAAAAUGUGUGGGUGUCUAAUCAUUUAGUCAGUCAGCUAAUUGGAAACAGCUGUGAUAGCCCCAAAGCAGCUGUAUCCUUUUAAAAGUCAGAUGAGACCUACAUCAGACGGUGCCUGAAAGGUAGGUUUACAAUACAGAAGAGGAGAGGGCUGUGUGCAAACAUAUUUUUUUGUAAGUAUUGUGUCAAUUUAUGAGAGAUGGCAGGAGACUGAUUUUUAAGAAGUACAUUUGAGUCACAGAAUUUAAAUCUGAAACUUUGACUAUCUAGUAACAGAGUGAGCCAGCAUUUAACAAAGCAAUAAAGCAGGGAGGAACUUCAAGUCUUCAGCUUUAGUUUAGGAGGGGGUUGUACAGUUCUUCUGUAAAGAGCCCGAUAGAAAAUAUUUUAGGCUUUGCAGUAUACCUGGUCUAUGCAGUCAGUACUUCUGUAUCAUGCGUAUUAGUACACAUGCCUUCAAAUGCAGGAAAUUUCAGAUUAUAUCAUCAGCAUUUUGGUGGGGGCAAAUAAAGGUAAAGGCAAAGUGCUUGGUUUACAAACUUUAGAAGCUUCCUCAGGGUAUUCCUUUGUACAACUUCUUCAAUGGGUUGGAAACCAUGUAAAUAGACAGGCUGCUCUCUUCCAAUUUAGUAUUUCCUUGGAAAAGACAUAUGGAAUAGUGUUUCAAGUAACGGACUUGUUUUUUUUCUCUUGCCCAUCAGAAUGUCCCACUGUAAUACGCUGCAUUACUUUAAUGAGGGUCAAAUCAGAUGUAGGUUGUAUUCUUGUUUUAUUUUUGCAUGGAACAAUUUUGGAUAGUGGAAUUCUGGCUUUCUGUGGUGUUUGUUUUCUGGGUAAUUUGUUGUAAUGUUUUAAAAGUAUACAUCAGUGUUUAACUCUCAUACAUAUCAGUAAUGUAUUUGGAAAUAAGAAUGUGAUUCACAUAUUGUGACCCUUAGAAUUCUAAUCAAACUUAUUUUAAUACCAUAUGGAGAGUCAUGGGUUGCAGACUGUAAUAUAAUCAAGGGAAAAUAAGAUUUCUAAUAAUCCAGUUGCAUUUGUCAGCUGCUCAGUUUAUUGGUGCAGAACAAUGCACAGGACUGUAAUAAGUGGCACUAUUUGGUAAGGGGAAGAAGCAGCUAAAAGUAAUGUUUGCUGUGACAUAUCAGAAGGUAUUGUUUUUAAAGAUCAUGGCUAGUUAUCUAUAUAUAUUCUUAUUAUUCCAUGUAAUAUUUCACUGGAAAGAUAGUUAAUGUGGUAUAAUAAAGUUUAAUAUGUGAUCUAAAUGGAAAUCACAGAAAAUAACUACACUAGGCAUUUUGAUCACAAUGUUAUAAAGUGACUUACCCAAAAUAUGUAAGAAUGCAUUAAACUUUUGUCUUGUAAGCGGCCCCCAAAAUUUCAAGAAACAAAUGUGUAAAUUGAAGAGUGGUCAUUUUAUUUUCUGAAGACAACUUAUUUAAUUCUUAGAAAUGUCCAUUUGACGAUACCGAGAAAGCUUGCUCCUUUCCUCACAUGGUUUCUCUUACUUGUGGAGCCUGUCAGCCAGGAAAAGGUAAAAGAGUAGACUGCGGUGCAGAAAGAUAAGGCCUUUCCUGGGGUCUUAGGAAUUGCAAUUUGGGACACAGCUAGAAGCUGAGCUGUGUUCUGAAGAGAGGUAGGAUAGUAGAGAAUUGUAAAAGGAUGCUGAGGGUACUCACAAGUUGCUCUGAAAGAGUUAUCACUGGUGAGGGUGGUUGGCUUAGUACAUGAGUCCACAGUUCAUUGGUUGUCAUUGUUUAAGGGUUGCAGCACUGGUGAAAAUCAGCUGUUUUCCAGGAUGUUGUGGUCACGGUGGUGUGACCCAGUUCAAAUAUUAAAGGAAGUUCCUGUUUUGCAGGUUUCAGAUCAUGCAGGUAGUUCUUAGAUUGGCUUCCUGACUCCAUUUCAAGGCUCUGAAUCAUUUUGUGUGUCACAUUUCAGAAGCCUAAUGAUGAGAACCUGAAAAAGAAACAGGUCUCUUUUUCUUAAUAAAGACCAAGGGAGAUCAGUAAGUAUUUAUUAGAUCAUAAAUAGCCCUAAGAUAUUAUACUAGACAGCACUCCAUGAGGGAAAAGUGACUGAUCAAGUAUAGUGCUUGUCGUAAAAUAGGUAAAAAAGGAAAUAACAAUACACAUUAAAUAAUGUAAUUUAUAGCUAAAGGCACAAGAGAAGAAAUGUCUUAGCAACUGUAACAUAAUUAACAGUCAAUUAAUUUCCACAGAUAAUUUCCUAUUGUUUAAUUCUUGUGGGUGGGCGGCUCGGAUUUGCAGCUCUGGUUGUGAGGACCUCCCUAACUCUCUGCCCCAUGUAGGGUAUGAGAUGGUAAGGUUAGUAUUUUCCCACUUACGGAGUUACUUAAAAUAAUCGCAUAGAAGCAGAGAAUAAAAUGGUGUUUAGCAGUGGUUGGGGGAAGGAGGAAAUCAUGACUUGUUCAAUAGAUACAAACUUAGUUAAACCAGAUGAAUACGUUCUAGAAAUGUGCUGUAUAGCACGGUGCCUAUAGUUAACAAUAUCGUAUUGUUUCCUUAAAAAAAUUUUUAAGAGCGUUGAUCUCGGGCCGGGCGCGGUGGCUCAAGCCUGUAAUCCCAGCACUUUGGGAGGCCGAGGCGGGUGGAUCACGAGGUCAAGAGAUUGAGACCAUCCAGGUCAACAUGGUGAAACCCCGUCUCUACUAAAAAAAAUACAAAAAAUUAGCUGGGCAUGGUGGCGUGUGCCUGUAAUCCCAGCUACUCGGGAGGCUGAGGCAGGAGAAUUGCCUGAACCCAGGAGGCGGAGGUUGUGGUGAGCCGAGAUCGCACCAUUGCACUCCAGCCUGGGUAACAAGAGCGAAACUCCGUCUCAAAAAAAAAAAAAAAAAGCGUUGAGCUCAUGUUAUUUUUACCACAAAAAUCUCCUAACAGAAAACAAAAGGGCCUUUAGAAAUGUUUGGAAGUAACAGAUGUGUUUAUUAUCUUGAUUGUGGUGAUGGCUUCAUGGCCGGGUGCAUAUGUGAAGUUGUAUCAAGUUGUACACGUUAAGUGUCGUAUUUUGUACAUGAACAAAAUAUAGAUUCGUAUUUGCCAUAGGCUGCAAGGAGGGGAGGAGACUGAAGCAGUUGCUAAUGGGCACAGGGUUUCUUUUUGCAUGGUGGUCUGAAAUGGAUUGUGGUGAUGGUUGUCCAACUCUGUAAAUGUGCUGAAGACUAUUGAAUUGUACACUUGAAUGAAUUUUAUGGGAUGUAAGUUGUUAAUAAAGCUACUUAAAAAAAUA